CCUACGGGAGGCAGCAGUGAGGAAUAUUGGUCAAUGGACGAGAGUCUGAACCAGCCAAGUAGCGUGAAGGAUGACUGCCCUAUGGGUUGUAAACUUCUUUUAUAUGGGAAUAAAAUGUUCCACGUGUGGGAUUUUGUAUGUACCAUAUGAAUAAGGAUCGGCUAACUCCGUGCCAGCAGCCGCGGUAAUACGGAGGAUCCGAGCGUUAUCCGGAUUUAUUGGGUUUAAAGGGAGCGUAGGUGGAUUGUUAAGUCAGUUGUGAAAGUUUGCGGCGCAACCGUAAAAUUGCAGUUGAAACUGGCAGUCUUGAGUACAGUAGAGGUGGGCGGAAGUCGUGGUGUAGCGGUGAAAUGCUUAGAUAGCACGAAGAACUCCGAUUGCGAAGGCAGUUCACUGGACUGCAACUGACACUGAGGCUCGAAAGUGUGGGUAUCAAACAGGAUUAGAUACCCGGGUAGUC
rnacentral:rRNA from 1 species